rnacentral:rRNA from 1 species
AGCGAACGCUGGCGGCAGGCUUAACACAUGCCAGUCGAGCGGGCAUCCUUGUGGUGUCAGCGGCAGACGGGUGAGUAACGCGUGGGAACGUGCCCUUCGGUUCGGAAUAACUCAGGGAAACUUGAGCUAAUACCGGAUACGUGCGAGAGCAGAAAGGUUUAUCUGCCGAAGGAUCGGCCCGCGUCUGAUUAGCUAGUUGGUGAGGUUACGGCUCACCAAGGCGACGAUCAGUAGCUGGUCUGAGAGGAUGAUCAGCCACACUGGGACUGAGACACGGCCCAGACCCCUACGGGGGGCAGAAGUGGGGAAUAUGGGAAAAUGGGGGCAACCCUGAUCCAGCCAUGCCGGGUGAGGGAAGACGGCUUUAGGGUGGUAAAGCUUUUUUCCCCGGGACGAUAAUGACGGGACCGGGGGAAAAAGCCCCGGCUAACUUCGG